rnacentral:rRNA from 1 species
AUUGAACGCUGGCGGCAGGCCUAACACAUGCAAGUCGAGCGGAUGAAGGGAGCUUGCUCCUGGAUUCAGCGGCGGACGGGUGAGUAAUGCCUAGGAAUCUGCCUGGUAGUGGGGGCUAACGUCCGGACACGGGCGCUAAUACCGCAUACGUCCUGAGGGAGAAAGUGGGGGAUCUUCGGACCUCACGCUCUCAGAUGAGCCUAGGUCGGAUUAGCUAGUUGGUGGGGUAAAGGCCUACCAAGGCGACGAUCCGUAACUGGUCUGAGAGGAUGAUCAGUCACACUGGAACUGAGACACGGUCCAGACUCCUACGGGAGGCAGCAGUGGGGAAUAUUGGACAAUGGGCGAAAGCCUGAUCCAGCCAUGCCGCGUGUGUGAAGAAGGUCUUCGGAUUGUAAAGCACUUUUAGUUGGGAGGAAGGGCAGUAAGUUAAUACCUUGCUGUUUUGACGUUACCAACAGAAUAAGCACCGGCUAACUUCGUG